GUUAGCCGUGGUAGGCAAUUCACCUAGGAGAGCAAACUCCGAACAAUAAACCCGGGCAGGUGGAGCUCGUUAGCCGUGGUAGGCAAUUCACCUAGGAGAGCAAACUCCGAACAAUAAACCCGGGCAGGUGGAGCUCGUUAGCCGUGGUAGGCAGUUCACCUAGGAGAGCAAACUCUACACAAACCCGGGCAGGUGGAGCUCGUUAGCCGUGGUAGGCAAUUCACCUAGGAGAGCAAACUCUACACAAACCCGGGCAGGUGGAGCUCGUUAGCCGUGGUAGGCAAUUCACCUAGGAGAGCAAACUCUAAACAAACCCGGGCAGGUGGAGCUCGUUAGCCGUGGUAGGCAAUUCACCUAGGAGAGCAAACUCCGAACAAUAAACCCGGGCAGGUGGAGCUCGUUAGCCGUGGGAGGCAAUUCACCUAGGAGAGCAAACUCCGAACAACAAACCCGGGCAGGUGGAGCUCGUUAGCCGUGGGAGGCAAUUCACCUAGGAGAGCAAACUCCGAACAACAAACCCGGGCAGGUGGAGGUCGUUAGCCGUGGUAGGCAAUUCACCUAGGAGAGCAAACUCCGAACAAUAAACCCGGGCAGGUGGAGGUCGUUAGCCGUGGUAGGCAAUCUUCCUAGGAGAGCAAACUCUAAACAAACCCGGGCAGGUGGUGCUCGUUAUACUGUCGUAGACAAUCCACGCAAUGGGAACACCAAAGAAAAGGAAAAUAGAAAAGAACACCAGAAAAAUGGAAAAUACAGAAACGAAAUAUCAAGAAAAGAAAGAAAAAGAUCAUCCACCUUUAGGCCCUAACAUCGCCAAAAUUAUGGAUGGGUCUCUUCUGGGGAGAAAGCGGCUCAUCCAGACCAAAGAACAUCAACAAAAGGAUGAUAUGAAUAAACGAACAUCAAAAAAACAUAAAGAAAAACACAUCAAGGAAAGAAAAGUAUAACAAACAUCAUCCACCUUCCGGCCCUGACUAACAUCACCAAAAUUAUGGGUGGGUCUCUUCUGGGGAGAAAGCGGCUCACCCAGACCAAAGAACAUCAACAAGGGAUGAUAUAUAAAAGAACACCAAAAAAUAUGGAAAAAAGAACAGAAAAAACAUCGAAAGAAAAAAGCAAAAUAAUAAACAACAUCAAGAAAAGAGAAAUACAAACAAACAUCAUCCACCUUUCGGCCCUGACUAACAUCACCAAAAUUAUGGGUGAGUCUCUUCUGGGGAGAAAGCGGCUCACCCAGACCAAAGAACAUCAAAAGGGAUGAUAUAGAAAAGAACAAAAAAUAUGGAAAAGAGAACAGAAAAAACAUCGAAAAAGAAAAGCAACAGAAAUAAAUUGACAUCAAGAAAGGAGAAAUGCAAAGAAACAUCAUCCACCUUUCGGCCCCAAACAACAUCUCCAAAAUUAUGGGUGGGUCUCUUCUGGGAGGAAAGCGGCUCACCCAGACCAACGAACAUCAACAAAAGGAUGAUAGGAAAAAAGAACACCAAAAAAAGAACAUCAAAAAAGAAAACCAACAGCAAGAAAACACAAAGGAAAAAAGAGAAAAAGAAAA